GUCCCGCAACGAGCGCAACCCCUACUGUUAGUUGCCAGCAUGUUAUGAUGGGGACUCUAACAGGACUGCCUGCGCAAGCAGAGAGGAAGGAGGGGACGACGUCAAGUCAUCAUGGCCCUUACGCCCAGGGCUACACACGUGCUACAAUGGGAGAUACAAAGGGUAGCUACACGGUAACGUGAUGCCAAUCUCAAAAAGUCUUUCUCAGUUCGGAUCGUGGUCUGCAACUCGACCACGUGAAGGUGGAAUCGCUAGUAAUCGCGCAUCAGCAAUGGCGCGGUGAAUACGUUCCCGGACCUU
rnacentral:rRNA from 1 species